UUACAGCCAUAUCACAUUGAAACAUGGGUUCUCGUUAGAUCACAGAAGUCAAGCAACGUUGAAACUGGUCAGUACUCAUAUGGGUGACCACUGUGGAAUACCAGGUGCUGUAAG